rnacentral:lncRNA from 1 species
UCCGAUCUGCAGAAUCCCCAUUAUCAUCAUCACAAAAAUAUAUCCCCCAAUCUUUACCCAAAUAAUGCAUGUCCUAGAAAACCUGCAAUCACAAAGGACGAGCGAAGCAAGGAAAUUUAAUCAUGAUUGUCAAAAACGAGAAGUAAUACAAUUAAGUAGCUUUGAUUUUUGUCAAAUUGAACAAUCAAGAAAAUGCAAUUAGAUUUGAAAGACAAAAGGCGCGGUGACAACAGCUUAGAGAGAGAGCUGGUCCUAGGGAAAGGGCGGCUAGGGUUAGAGCAGGUCCAAGGGAGAGCGCGGUUGAGGGCGGCUGUAAUAGCCGCGACGUACGAUCGGUGGUGGUGCUGCUGCGGCUGGGAGAACGGUGACUGAGUAAUAGUCGAGC